rnacentral:pre_miRNA from 1 species
UUUCUACUCCCUCCGUCCGGAAAUACUUGUCGCACAAAUAGAUAAAAUUGGAUGUAUCUAGAACUAAAUACGUCUAGAUACAUCCAUUUCUCCGACAAGUAUUUCCGGGCGGAGGGAGUAUAUA